CAUUCAUAUUUAUCAAUGAUUGGAAAAAAUUGGAAAAAAAAUUGCAAUUAACGUUGCAUUCUAAAUGUUCUGCAGAAGUAUAUAUCGAUGACGAGUCAUGUUUUAAUGAGGUUUCAAAGGCUAGCAUUAAUCGAUAACAAAUUUAACUGCUCUCGACCCUCGAAGACAGCGGUUAUCUAAAUGAUAAAUAUUUUCAGUCGCUCGUUAAAAGAGGUUUUGCAAUACCAAUGAAACGACUGAAUCAUUUGAACAGCAAUGAAUAUCAUUGGCCACAAUAAACUUUAUGGUUUUAAUCCAAUUUGAGAACUAAAAACACAUUUAUGAAUAUUAAAAUAAUUUGAACAAUUUGAAAAGUUUCAUUUGAUAGAAGAAUAAGUAUAUUUUAAUAGAAAUAAUAUAAAUGCACCAAUAUAACAAUACAAAUAAUUAAAUAAUCUCAAUAAAUCACGAAAAGAAAAAAAAAUUCAAUGAAAGAAUCUGAUUAAAAGCGACGUUUGAAUGUCGAUAAAGCGGAUAAUGCGCAACUUUUUAAGCCUUUAAUUUUUUACUACUCGGUCGAUAAAGCAAAUCGCGACGUAGUGGACAACGAGGUCAGAGCGAGACUACACCCGUAACGAUCCCGUGUUUGAAUUCAAGGUUUUCGCGGAAACGAAGUAUGAAAGAUGCUAGUAAUCGUUUGGAAUCGUGAUCAUCCGUGUCGUCGUUGUCUUUCAUCGUCGUACCAAAAGCAAACGUAUGGCAACCUCGUCAACCUCGAUACGCCUUCGCCAAUGAUAAGAUAAAGGUUAGCAUGUGUACGUUUCUCGUGAAAUCGCAAACGUAGGCGUUGUUGUAUUUCGCUUUAUUCGUGUGCACUUCGAUCCUUGCGUUCGUUUCUGAUAAUGCUUUUUCUUUCUAUGCAUUCUUUUUUCUUUUUCUCUUUUCUUUUUCGUCUUUUUUCUUCUUUGUCUUCACAAUAUCGUGAAAAAGCGAAUGGAUUGUGCAAACGAAUGAAUCGAAUAAUCUCGAUGAAAUGAGAGUUUCUUUUUGCGAGGUUAGCCUAGUCUACAGGUAUGCGCAGGUAUGCGCGAGUAGGCGCCAUCGUGUGACCGCCCACGGAGAAGGUAUAUUUCUGCAUCCGUACGUGGGCAAACGAUGCGAUUAUGACGCUUAACUUUUAUUAUAAAAUUUAAUAUUGAAAAUACAAUGACGGAAUUCAUAUAUGCAUGUAAUCUAUUACAAUAUAUCUAUGUGAUUAAAGUACAAACACAUAUACAUUCACAUAUACAAAAGAUAACGUAUACAAUGCAAACAUUAAUACACAGCAAUGGAACUAUAUGCACUGAUGCACGUGUGGCGCUCUCCCAGUUAGCAUCUCAGACAAGAUUUAAUCAAUCGUUUGAACAAAAUAAGUAUCAUAGACGACAGCCUGUCUCGCCAAGAACCCUUGAAAGAUACCUCUAUGUUCAAGUAACAGACAAGGAUAGCGGAAAGAACCGUCUAAUGCGUUUUUUGCAAAGAAUUAUGAUCGUAACACCCUUUUCUUUCACAUUCGCAUUCUCACGUGGCUUUUGCCGCAUAAGUAAGGUAGGUAAGGGCCAUAUGAGUAGUACAGUACAUAGAAUUCAAAGGUGAGGUGUCGCAAGUCAAGGCAGUGGUAAAUAGAAGCACACUUAUCUCGCUCACUCUUACUCUCAAUCCGUUAAUUCUAUCCUUUGUCGUAUGCACAUACACAUACACACAGAACAAGUACAAGUGCGUGAAAAGAGAGCAAGGAAAGCGAAGGCUACAGAUCUCAAGCAAACGAACAUGGAGGAGAAAGAGGGAAAGAGAAUGGUCGGCGUACAUCAUUUGGGCGCCGAGAAGUCUGGCGCGACCAGGCCAAGCCAGGCCAGGCCAGAGGCGCGUCUCUGGUUACGCGACCAUUUGGGGCGCCAAGCAUGGAGCGCCGAGGAGGUGAAAGGAGCGGGAGGAAGGACUGAUAGAAGGGAAAACCAUAGGAGAGCAAAGAAGAACAGAGAAGAGGACUCCAGAGGGACUAGUAGAGACGAAGGUAGGCGUUCGAGCAUCGUUGUGUCGAGCUUUGAACUGUAGAACGUAUAGGGCGGCAUUGUGGAAGGAGAAAGAGGGGAAAUCAACGAAGGGGCCCCAGCAGGCUACAUUCCAGCGGGACGCGAGUUUUCAAACAUGGCUACCCACGUGAAUGUAGGUCCACGACCGAUCGUAUAACACGCACACAUGUUCGACCUUACAAACUACAAGAUCUCCUCUUUCUUUCUCUUUCUUAUUCUUGUUUCUCUUCGUUUCGCAUGUAUAAUCUGUUCGGAACGAUUCCCUCUCAUAACGUGCUCCUUCCCCUAAUGCCUGCUCCGUCACACGCUUAUACUGACACUAACCCACAGAAUCCCCUUGCCCCUUUGCACCAUCGGGUUGUUCGUUUCCCCUCUCCCCUCACAGCAAUCCGGACGGCCCGUCCGACCGAGCUGGCGACACCCUGUCUGGCAAGACCGGCCGACGGACAAAGGAGGGGGAGCCUGGCCGCUGCGUUGCCACGUCCUCGGACUUCGAGCUGCACCUACCUUCGGCCUCAAGGACAAAUCCGAUGAACGUGUCAGCCGUCGUGGCGUACUUAGGCGACUGCCGGUCUGCUACUGCUAUGCCUGUUACCGAUAUUCAUGAUCGCUCGUUCUUUUUAAUGAACGGACAGAGUUUGAUUACGAUUAAAUAAAGAAUUUGAUUGCAAAAAGUUUGAUGAUUGACAUUUCAUAAAACGAAAGGAAAUGAAACCUCAUUCUUUUUAUAACGAGCAUAAAAUACAAAAUGAUAUAUACGAUGAUAUAUACUUAUAAAACUAUGCGAAGGUCAAAUUAUAUUCAGUCAGGUAUCCACUCGGCACAACGUUUGUAGUUGUCAGAUGUUAUUUAGGAAAGUUUGGAAUCGGUAUAAUCGACGGAGCGAGAAUAACCAGCAAGAUUCUUAGAAAUGCAAUAGGGUGCUCCUUCGUGGAACGACAGAAGGAUCGGACGGGUCUCAGUUUCUGCUGGUGGCGCGAAUCGUGGAAAUUUACGAGGCCUCGGUCUCUCCACGUCCGUAUACGUUGCGGCCUACGUGCGGCUCAGCGAUAUGGCAACCGCGCGUAAAGCUAAACAUAUUAACUGUCGGCUCACGCCACAAAAACAACAUGAUCUCAUUCCACUACGUAUGUAUAUGCAAGGAACGUGUGAUCCGCAUGCACGCUUCGAAAUCUCAUUCAGAGAUAACUAGAAGUGGAUAAGAGCAUUCGAGAAAUGAAAAAUAAGAACAGGACGAAAAGUAUGAAUAACUAUCCAACAGUGACUCGUAACGGUAAGUCGGUAGAAUGGUCUGGUAAUAACCAGCAAAGAACAAUACAGAUCGCAUUACCCCACUGGGGCUAUAAUAGGAACGGCUCCUCGACCCUAGGAGAUUACCAAUACCAGCAAAGUUGACACGGCCACGAGUAUUUUUCCUGGAAGGCAAAAUCCCCUUACCUCACCGGCCUUUCCCCUUAUUCGAUGCCAAUAAAACUUCCUAGACGACGGUCGCCGAGUUGGCGCUCGUCUACGGCAAACUUUCAAGAAUCGUACCGUAUGCGAAGUCUGACGUAGGUCUUCAACGAUUUAACCUAGAUAACACGCCUAAUCUCAGCCACACGAGAAAACAUCGUAACUCGAGUCGUGUUUGCUAUUCUUUUAACGCUCCUUCGAUGGGUUCGAUUGCGAUUCAAUGAACAGAAC